CGAUUCUGGCUCAGAACGAACGCUGGCGGCAUGGAUUAGGCAUGCAAGUCGAACGAAGCAGCAAUGCUUAGUGGCGCAAGGGUGAGGAACACGUGAGUGACCUACCCGCAAGUUUGGAACAGCUCCUGGAAACGGGAAUUAAUACCGGAUGUGAUCGAUGAACUGCAUGGUUUAUUGAUUAAAGCAGCAAUGCGCUUGCGGAUGGGCUCGCGUCCCAUUAGCUAGUUGGUGAGGUAACGGCCCACCAAGGCCAUGAUGGGUAGCUGGUCUGAGAGGACGACCAGCCACACUGGGACUGAGAACUGCCCAGACUCCUACGGGAGGCUGCAGUCGAGAAUUUUGGGCAAUGGACGAAAGUCUGAACCCCCAGCAAUGCCGCGUGCGGGAUGAAGGUCUUCGGAUUGUAAACCGCUGUUUGGAGGGACGAAAAUUGACGGUACUUCCAGAGGAAGCCACGGCUAACUACGUGCCAGCAGCUGC
rnacentral:rRNA from 1 species